AAGGCAUAGCCAGGAAUAGCCAUCACAGAGAGUGAGUGGGGAAAGGUUGGCUAACGGAGAUCAGGUUUUAGUUGAGAAUAAUGAGUAAGUCUGAAAUAUUGACUAUAGAACUUGGAGACAGAAUUAGCAAUGCAAUAUAAUCUUGAAAGUAACUCUUAAUUUGUACAGGUAUUCCCAUAAUUGCCAUAAGUUCUAAUAAAUGUGUAAUUAAUUAUAUACCAGUCCUUUCAGAACUUAAAGCAGUUGCCCGUUGAAAUACUGAAUAUGUGCCUAUGUUAUGAUAUACAUAUUUUAAUUUUUUAAACUGUGCAAAAUGAAACACAUACCUUUUCCAAAUUUCAUUUCUUUGGGUACCUUUUCGGUUAUUCCCUGCAGGUAAUGGAGUUUGGCCAUACAAAGAACAGGAGCAAUUUAUAAUUCUCAGCAAAAUUCUCUUCAUCAAACCCUAAGGUAUUUGUAUCUGAAACAGUGAAUAACAUAUCAUCUAUAUAAUGGUAAAUUGUAGAUUAAGGAAACUGCUUGUUAUUUAUAGUGGCUGUUGUACAAUAUUGGCAUAAGGUAGUACUAUUCGACAUUCCUUGUGGCAAGACUCUCUGCAAUGAUAUCUUUUCAUUGUACAACUUCUAUUAAAAGUAGGCACUGAGAAAGCAAGCCUUUUUCUAUCAUGUUCAAGUAAAGGGAUUGUGGAAAACCACUCUUUUAGAUCAAUCCCUAUAAUAGGUCAUGCCUUAGGUAACAAGGAAGGCAAUAGGAUUCCAGGUUGUAAAGUGCCCGUUGGCUGAAUGAUUUUCUUAAUUGCUCUCAGAUAUGUCACCAUCCUCUAUUUGACAUAUUUAUUUUUUUAAUGACAAAUACAGGAGAAUUCCAGGCUGGUAGACUCUUCUAUAGGUUGAACCUGCAGCUGCUCUUGGAAUAACUGCUCUAGUAUCUGUAACUUUUCUUUUGUUACAGGCCAUUGUUCUGUCCAAACAGGUUUUUAAGUUUUCCAAGUUAGUGGUAGGGCAGGUGGAGAUAGGCCAGCAGUGUCUCCCCCAUAUGAAAUUGAAGAGUCAGCCUGUGCUGUAAACUGCUUAUGGACAGCUUGGACAGUCUGUAACUGUCUUUGAUACCAAUUUUAAAUGCUUUAUUAGGAACAUUUUUUUUUCUCUUACAGCCCCUCUCUAAAGUUGGAGGAAUGCUAAUCUGUGCUUCCCACUGUUGCAAUAGAUCUCUUUCCCAAAGAUUUAUGGCUAUAUUAAUCACAUAUGGUGUUAACUUCCCUAUUUGAUAUUCUGAUCCUAUGCUAUUAAUCAGACUUUGUUUUAUCUGAGACAAUGCCUUAAUUCCUAGGAGCUCUGUAGAAUACCAUUUGCAGUGGCCAAACUGGAGUCCAGGAAUCUUGUAAUAUUAUAGUUAUUUCUGUAUCCACUAAGCCUUU
rnacentral:lncRNA from 1 species